UCGUAGUGUCGCCAGCGACAGUUCUCCAGCCAAUCAGAGCAUGUAAACAAAACUUCCCCUGACCCCUUCCUUUUCAUUUCUGGUUGUCGAGAAGUGUCGCGACACGCCCCUUUUGUAGUUGAAAUAUUCCAACUACACCUCGAAUUUCUGCGACAAUCACAAGUAAAUAUAACCUAUCUGUCAGCCGCAAAAACAGUUGUUUUUGAUUUUAGAUAUUCUUUUCAGUAUUUUUUAAUCAUGGUAUAUUUUCCAUCUAAGUUCAGAAUGGAGUUUUUCUACAAGUAUACAGCUUUAUAUUCGUGGCGAAAGGCGAAAUAAAAUAAGGAGAAGAAGGUGGAUUCACUAGACCACUGCGGCAGAUAGGUAUUUAACUUCCUAAUGAACCAUGGGAGUUCACUGCUAUAUACUCCAUGAAUAUUCAUUUGGCCAAUCCGUAAUAGAUAUAUGAAAAUGAAUACAAAAAGUGCCUAUUUCAUUGAAAUUCCCAAAACAAAUCAAAAAGUAGCUGAACGUUACUCCCACAAAAUAAACAAGAUUGGAGGUUUUGAUCCAUAUGCCAUUUGAGCAAGAGAUAUACGAGGUUACAGUCCUGAUGGAAUAUGAUGAUGUUGUGGUUUUUCUAGUUUUCACAACCAGUUUUUAAACACAUCAGCAAAUGAAAGCAUUUAAGCGCUUAUCAGCCGACAAAUGCUCGCAUUAUAUCUGGGUUUUGCUGUUUGAAACAAAAUAUUCUGUGAGAAGUUUUUCACAAAAGGGUCAGUACAGAUGAAUAGGUGUACAUGUAAAGAAGGGAAUAAUGACCAUUUUAUGAUAAAAUGCUGCUAUGAGGAUUGUGAAAUAUAUUGGAUCCGAUCCAUGCGGAAAGUGUUGGGCUGACCAUUGUUCCUGACCAUUCGUUCAGCAGCGCUUGUACAAGCAAUUUACACAUGGAUCGAAUAGUUUUUUAAAAUGUAUAUACAUAAUAUGAUGUAAUGUGGUUGUAUUAAAUAAUCUCGAAUAGAUGCACUGUUCUAUACAAAA